rfam:Ictidomys tridecemlineatus contig012326, whole genome shotgun sequence.
GGGGUUGUGGCUCAAUAGUAGAGCACUCACCUAGCAAGUGCGAGGUACUGGGUUCGAUCCUCAGCACCA